UUCCUGGUGACUCAGACGGUAAAGAAUCCACUUGCAAUGUGGAAGACUUAGGUUCAAUUCCUGGGUUGGAAA
rnacentral:tRNA from 1 species